GCCUUGAUCAUAUAGUGGUUAGUACUCUGUGUUGUGGCCGCAGCAACACCGGUUCAAAUCCGGGUCAUGGCA
rnacentral:tRNA from 1 species